rnacentral:rRNA from 1 species
CGCGUAGGCGGGCCAUCAAGUCUGUGGUGAAAUCCCCCGGCUCAACCGGGGAAGUGCCGCGGAUACUGGUGGUCUCGAGGGGUGCAGGGGCAUGCGGAACUUCCGGUGGAGCGGUGAAAUGCGUAGAUAUCGGAAGGAACGCCGGUGGCGAAAGCGGCGUGCUGGACACCUACUGACGCUGAGGCGCGAAAGCCAGGGGAGCAAACGGGAUUAGAUACCCCGGUAGUCCUGGCCCUAAACGAUGGGUACUAGGCCGUGGGCUUGACAUGGGCUCACAGCCGAAGCCAAAGUGCUAAGUACCCCGCCUGGGGAGUAUGGUCGCAAGGCUGAA